UACAGAGGAUGCAAGCGUUAUCCGGAAGGAUUGGGCGUAAAGCGUCUGUAGGUGGCUUUUUAAGUCCGCCGUCAAAUCCCAGGGCUCAACUCUGGACAGGCGGUGGAAACUACCAAGCUCGAGUACGGUAGGGGCAGAGGGAAUUUCCGGUGGAGCGGUGAAAUGCGUAGAGAUCGGAAAGAACAUCAGUGGCGAAAGCGACUUCCUGGACCAAUACUGACGCUCAUGUGCGAAAGCGUGGGGAGCAAACAGG
rnacentral:rRNA from 1 species